AAACCAACCGGGAUUGCCUUAGUAACGGCGAGUGGAGCGGCAAAAGCUCAAAUUUGAAAUCUGGUACCUUCGGUGCCCGAGUUGUAAUUUGGAGAGGGCAACUUUGGGGCCGUUCCUUGUCUAUGUUCCUUGGAACAGGACGUCAUAGAGGGUGAGAAUCCCGUGUGGCGAGGAGUGCGGUUCUUUGUAAAGUGCCUUCGAAGAGUCGAGUUGUUUGGGAAUGCAGCUCUAAGUGGGUGGUAAAUUCCAUCUAAAGCUAAAUAUUGGCGAGAGACCGAUAGCGAACAAGUACAGUGAUGGAAAGAUGAAAAGAACUUUGAAAAGAGAGUGAAAAAGUACGUGAAAUUGUUGAAAGGGAAGGGCAUUUGAUCAGACAUGGUGUUUUGUGCCCUCUGCUCCUUGUGGGUAGGGGAAUCUCGCAUUUCACUGGGCCAGCAUCAGUUUUGGUGGCAGGAUAAAUCCAUAGGAAUGUAGCUUGCCUCGGUAAGUAUUAUAGCCUGUGGGAAUACUGCCAGCUGGGACUGAGGACUGCGACGUAAGUCAAGGAUGCUGGCAUAAUGGUUAUAUGCCGC
rnacentral:rRNA from 1 species